rnacentral:sRNA from 1 species
GGGUCAAACUCCCCAAAGGAUCAUCUUUAACCUAAUACAAGAGACUACAAUUAUAGAGCAAACCUUAGCUUUUUAUUCAAGCAAUUUUGUUCUUUCCCUUUGAUUAUUUGUGAGCUAAGAGAGGAGUGAAUUUGUCUAAAUCCCUUAGUACAAAUUCAUUGUUUGAUUACAGAAUCAACAAUCCUGAUUCUGAAAAUCACACAAUAAAUUUGUUUAAAGGGGAUAAACAAAUUUACUUAACUCUCUCGCUAUUUAGUGACCAAAGAUUCAAUGAAAAGAAGAACAAGGUUGCUUAGAGACAAAGUUAGGGUUUUUGAAAGGCCCCGAUCCGGACUGCCUAAAGUCCGGGCGAGUUCUCUCGACCCAAGCCACUAAGUGCCUCG